UCGAGAAUUUUUCACAAUGGGCGCAAGCCUGAUGGAGCGACGCCGCGUGGGGGAUGAAGGGUUUCGAUCCGUAAACCCCUGUCAUUUGCGGACAAACCUUGAUUGUGAAUAGCGAUCGAGCUGAUUGUAGCGGAAGAGGAAGGGACGGCUAACUCUGUGCCAGCAGCCGCGGUAAUACAGAGGUCCCAAGCGUUGUUCGGAUUCACUGGGCGUAAAGGGUGCGUAGGUGGUCGGUGAAGUUCGGUGUGAAAGCUCGGAGCUCAACUCCGAAACGGCAUUGAAAACUCAUCAGCUGGAGGGUCGGAGGGGAGACUGGAAUUCUCGGUGUAGCAGUGAAAUGCGUAGAUAUCGAGAGGAACACCAGUGGCGAAGGCGAGUCUCUGGACGACUCCUGACACUGAGGCACGAAAGCCAGGGGAGCAAACAG
rnacentral:rRNA from 1 species